rnacentral:rRNA from 1 species
UACGUAGGGCGCAAGCGUUAUCCGGAAUUAUUGGGCGUAAAGAGCGUGUAGGCGGCCUGACAGGUCUGCUGUGAAAACUCGAGGCUCAACCUCGAGAUGUCGGCGGAAACCGUCUGGCUAGAGUCCGGAAGAGGAGAGUGGAAUUCCUGGUGUAGCGGUGAAAUGCGCAGAUAUCAGGAAGAACACCCGUGGCGAAAGCGGCUCUCUGGAACGGUACUGACGCUGAGACGCGAAAGCGUGGGGAGCGAACAGG